UACAGAGACCUCAAGCGUUAUCCGGAAUCAUUGGGCGUAAAGCGUACCGAUAUGUUGUUUUGAAAGUUUUGGGUAAAAGCCAGAAGCUCAACUUCUGAGUUUGCUCAAAAUACUGCAAAACUAGAGGGGCAAAGAGGAGACUGGAACGAACGGUGUAGUAGUGAAAUGCGUUGAUAUCGUUCGGAACACCGAAAGCGAAGGCAGGUCUCUGGGUGCCACCUGACACUGCUAGGACGAAAGCGUGGGGAGUGAAUGGG
rnacentral:rRNA from 1 species